rnacentral:pre_miRNA from 1 species
UUUAACAAGCGUAACUCCCGGAGGUGAUAGCAGGUAUUUUUAAGGCGAUAGCACGGCUGCUAUCCCGGAUGUUUACGUGCGUCUGUUC